AAUCUGCAAGAGAAUUACGCAUUUUAGAGAUACACGUUGCUCUUGAAUUCAAGAGCAUACUUUGGCUAUGUAUGUUUUAUUAUCGUUUAUUAUUUGCCCGAGUAAAUGUACUUAUUGUCGUCAAAACUUUUAUUCCUUGGCCGUUACAAACGAAAAAGAUCAACUUUUUCUCUUAUACUACUGAUCGCUACUACCCGCUCUCGCUAGCCAGCUUCCUUUCUUUUCCGCUUUGCCGUGCAGCGCCUUUCCUUGCAUUCCACUUUUUUUCCAGCGGAGUCUGGCUCUUUCCGCUUCAUUAUUGAAAAAACUUGAAAUCGGAAAAGAAAUGUAUGUUGAAGGUUGAAAACUUUCGGAAUUUUGAUACGCAAAUGGGUUUUUUCGUCGCGGCGCUAUUUUCUUCUCCCCAACAGAUUGAUAGACCCGAUCGAGAAGAAAGUGGCAUGUAAAAUUGUGACCCUUAUUUACAUGCUUACUGAGGAUAAGGAUAUUCAAAUACGUAUAAGAAGUUUGGAAUGGAAAUUCUCGAAAAUAAGGAAUUCUUGGUGGGUGAUUUAGCGAGAGAUUGACAAAUAAACGUGGGGUGUAUCAGACCAACGGGCUUUUAAAAAUAUUUAUGAACCAUAAUGGCAAUGGCUCUUGACAUACAAAUUGAAUUACAGCAUAUUACGAUCAACGGCCAUUUUCUUAACCCUUAAACUGCUGGCAAUUUAAAAAUUAAAAUGCAACUUUUUUCCGUGCACAUUCUCAUAUAAAUGUUGCCAAUGUAUGGGUCGAUGUGUAAAAGUCAUCAGGUAGCGCAAAAUAGCGUCGCACCGGCAGGCUAAGCGUUAAAUUCGUAAAUUGAUAUUCAAUAUUUUAAUUGACCAAACAGAAAGCUUAAGAAACACUUAAAACACUUCCUUCAUUUAAUUUUCAAUGUAAUUUUCAGCCUGUCUUGAAUCCGAUUAUACCUGAAAGGGAACUGAGUGGAACGUCAUAACCUCAAAUAUGGGAUAUUAUAGUUUAUAAGAAUGCAAUAAUAAAUUUUCAUGCAAACGCAGUGUAUGCAUACUUUUGCAAGCUGUAUUGUUACUGAGAUAACACUUGUAUGUGGAGUAACUGACUAAAAAAGAUAUGACUUGUACGUAAUUUUUGAGGUGUAAAAUGCCCGUGUUAAAACUGCCCUUUUUCGCAAUUAUUCCUCAACUAUGCUUCACACAAUUUCCAGUUCAGUAAUCGUACAAUUUACGCAGUUAUGGAUAUACUUCAUUUCGAUAAAGAUGGUGCAUCAAUCUCGUACAAUUUACGAUUUUCGCGGUUGGAGAUUCUAGAUGGCAGUCGACACUCCCCAAGUCCUCUUAUCAGAUGCGAUAAUAAUAAUAAGACAAGAUAGUGGAUGUAAAAAAAUAAUCCAUCAACAGUCGCUGAACUACGUAAUUCAUCUAAAAUCAUGUACAAUCAAUAUCCAUGGUAACGGUAUCCUUGGACCGUGUUCCAGUUUGUUUUUUUUAAUGUCCAUUAUAUAUGGACGAUUAAAUUAAUACUGCGUGUCAUGAAAUCGGAUACAAAACGUUCACAUUCUGCAGUUCGUUAAAAUUUUUCAAAGUCACCGUUGUGCUUGAGAAUAUCAUCACAUUCAAAUUACGUCAUCGGUCCCUGGUCGCUUGAAAGGCAAUGAACGAAUCAGCGCCGCCCCUGGUAUCGUUGGUGUACUACGAUAUGUCCCACAUGCGUAUUUCCAUCGUAAACAAGCAUCUACAAAAGAAGAAAAAAAAAUGAAAAUGAAGAGUGAAGUUGUCUCGUUCGCAAAGGAAAUAAUUUAUCGAGUAAGAAGGAAAAUUUUAAUGCCACAACCUUGUACCGAGAUGGUAAAUCUUUGGGAAAAUAAAAAAUAAAAUAAAAAUCCUUUCUCGCCACAAGAUAGAAAGUUACUCGACAGAAGCCGUUCGUGCUUGUCCUUGGUUUCUUUGUUCUAAACUUCGAAGUUAAUUUUAUCUGUUUAUACUUGACUCUACCCAGCGCAGCUUUUGAAAAUAUUAUACAGUGAAAAGUAAACUUUUCUCAAAAGUCCGUGCGUUGUAAUUCUUAAACAACGUCCAAUCUGUUCUGAGACACUGGGGUUAUGGGCAAUAAAGAAGUUUGCGAAAUUUCGAAUAAAACAAAUAAACAUUCUUUUAAUAGACAAUCAUUGCGUAAUUUCGUUUGACGAAUAUCGAAUUUCUUGUUAAAUCUGCACGAGAAUUUAAGGAGUCAC